rnacentral:rRNA from 1 species
UACGAAGGUGGCAAGCGUUGUUCGGAUUUACUGGGCGUACAGGGAGCGUAGGCGGUUCGGUAAGCCCUCUGUGAAAUCUCCAGGCUUAACCUGGAACAGUCGGAGGGGACUGCUGGGCUAGAGGACGGGAGAGGAGCGCGGAAUUCCCGGUGGUAGCGGUGAAAUGCGUAGAGAUCGGGAGGAAGGCCGGUGGCGAAGGCGGCGCUCUGGAACGUUUCUGACGCUGAGGCUCGGAAAGCGUGGGGAGCAAACAGG